rnacentral:tRNA from 1 species
GAGGGUAUAGCUCAGUGGUAGAGUGUGCGCUUAGCAUGCAGGAGGUCCUGGGUUCAAUCCCCAGUAACUCCC